UACAGAGGUCUCAAGCGUUGUUCGGAUUCAUUGGGCGUAAAGGGUGCGUAGGCGGCGCGGUAAGUCGGGUGUGAAAUCUUGGAGCUUAACUCCGAAACUGCAUUCGAUACUGCCGUGCUUGAGGACUGGAGAGGAGACUGGAAUUUACGGUGUAGCGGUGAAAUGCGUAGAUAUCGUAAGGAAGACCAGUGGCGAAGGCGGGGUCUCUGGACAGUUCCUGACGCUG
rnacentral:rRNA from 1 species